GGUUCUGUAGUCUAGCGGUUAGGACCCCGGAUUCUGAUUCCGGUAGCCCCGGUUCGAAUCCGGGCAGGACCU
rfam:Aspergillus terreus NIH2624 scaffold_11 genomic scaffold, whole genome shotgun sequence.